rnacentral:rRNA from 1 species
UACGUAGGGUGCAAGCGUUGUCCGGAAUUAUUGGGCGUAAAGAGCUCGUAGGCGGUUUGUUGCGUCGGCUGUGAAAACCCUGGGCUUAACCCUGGGCUUGCAGUGGAUACGGGCAGACUAGAGGCAGGUAGGGGAGAAUGGAAUUCCUGGUGUAGCGGUGAAAUGCGCAGAUAUCAGGAGGAACACCGGUGGCGAAGGCGGUUCUCUGGGCAUUACCUGACGCUGAGGAGCGAAAGUGUGGGGAGCGAACAGG